rnacentral:rRNA from 1 species
UACAGAGGGUGCAAGCGUUGUUCGGAAUUAUUGGGCGUAAAGCGCGUGUAGGCGGCAUGGCAAGUCGGGUGUGAAAGGCCCUCACGCUUAACUGAGGAAGUGCGCCCGAAACUGCCGUGCUUGAGUGCCGGAGAGGGUGGCGGAAUUCCCCAAGUAGAGGUGAAAUUCGUAGAUAUGGGGAGGAACACCGGUGGCGAAGGCGGCCACCUGGACGGUAACUGACGCUGAGCACGCGAAAGCGUGGGGAGCAAACAGG